GUGGUCUCUCAAAAAGCUGAGCAUGUUGCUGCUCUGAGAAAAUUCAUGGCUCAGUUAUUAGAGUAGGAGGAAGGGUAAAUGUAGGCCCAUAGGUCGAAUUUUCUGUUAGAAGGGCGGAAAAAUGAGACAGAACCUCCCUGUCCUCAUGCGGCUCACAGGGGAGAUGCAAGUUAAUGGAAGAACUACAUCCACACAAAUAAAAUCAACACUAGGGUAAGUGGGAUGAGAGCCUGUUGUAAAGAGAUUUGUGAACUGACCAGAGAUAUAACUGCAGAGGAGAAGGAGGGAGGAGGGAGAAGGAAGCACUUCCCAAGAGCAGAGAAAAGUAGGACUCAGACCAGACUAGUGGGCCCCCAGCUGAGUUUUCUGAUGUGAAAGGGAAGCUCAGGCUGCUGAGGAUGCAGAGGCUGGCAGGGGUCUAUGACUAAGGUGUCAGCAGCCGAUGGGAGAUUUUGUUUCUCCAGGUUUAUCCCAGUCCUAAGCCCUUUCCCUGAGGAUCCCGUCAGCCUCCACUCAGGGGCUGGAGUGAAGUUCACAGUACUAAAGGACUCUCUGCCUCGGGCCCUUCCCUCUGCUUUCUUCCCAAUUCCAGGAUGCAAUUGUGCCACCCAGUAAUUUAUCCUCUUUGUGUAUGAUGCCUGAAUAACAUGCCUUUUGAAUGGUUCUGAUUAAAGGAUGAAGGAAUUGCAUUCUAUAAUUUGCGAAUUCAUAAUAUUCUCAAAG
rnacentral:lncRNA from 1 species